rnacentral:rRNA from 1 species
UACGUAGGUGGCAAGCGUUGUCCGGAGUUAUUGGGCGUAAAGCGCGUGUAGGCGGUUGUUCAAGUCAGGUGUGAAAGCCUUGAGCUCAACUCAAGAAAUGCACUUGAUACUGGAUGACUAGAGGACCGGAGAGGAUAGUGGAAUUCCCAGUGUAGUGGUGAAAUACGUAGAGAUUGGGAAGAACACCAGUGGCGAAGGCGGCUGUCUGGUCCGGUUCUGACGCUGAGGCGCGAAAGCGUGGGGAGCAAACAGG